GGCCUCAGAAGGGGACACCGCUGCGAAGGGGACAGCGGUACAAAGGUGACGCCGCCACAAAAGUGGUGACACCGCCACGAGGAGACACCGGCGCGAGGUGACACUGCCACAAGGAGGCACCGCCGUAAAGGUGACGCCGGCACUGGGUGAGCCCGCGGGCCGGUUCGUGCGUGCGCCCACAGGAGCACAUGCAGCAGAAACCAGCCGGGCAGUAAGUGCCUGUGCUGAGGGGUGCGGCCAAACCGCGCCACUGCCCCGACCACUUCUGGGGAAAAAGGAAGCAGAAAGAAGCUGAACAAGAAUUGGAAAGAUAUCGUAAUCAGAACAAUCCUUUUCUUGAAACCUGAGGACAAGGAGAUGUUCAAGAAGAGGUGGGAAAUGAAAGUGACAACAAGAGGCAAACCAUUUGUAUAAUAUGUAGAAGCACGACAAAGUUGUUGCUAAA